rnacentral:rRNA from 1 species
CAAGUCGCGUGAGGGAAGACUGCCCUAUGGGUUGUAAACCUCUUUUGUCAGGGAGCAACGCCGGCUACGUGUAGCCGGACUGAGAGUACCUGAAGAAAAAGCAUCGGCUAACUCCGUGCCAGCAGCCGCGGUAAUACGGAGGAUGCGAGCGUUAUCCGGAUUUAUUGGGUUUAAAGGGUGCGUAGGCGGAAUGCCAAGUCAGCGGUAAAAUCGCGGGGCUCAACCUCGCUCCGCCGUUGAAACUGGCGUUCUUGAGUGGGCGAGAAGUAUGCGGAAUGCGUGGUGUAGCGGUGAAAUGCAUAGAUAUCACGCAGAACUCCGAUUGCGAAGGCAGCAUACCGGCGCCCAACUGACGCUGAAGCACGAAAGCGUGGGUAUCGAACAGGAUUAGAUACCCUGGUAGUCCACGCAGUAAACGAUGAAUACUAGCUGUUCGGGGCAAUUGGGCCUUGAGUGGC